rnacentral:lncRNA from 1 species
CCAGUAACCAGCCAGCUCCCCACGUGGCUUGAAAUUUCCAUCUAAAAGAUCACAGAUAACAAAACUGGGGGAACUGUCUCCAAAAGAAAACUGUUAAAAUGGAAAUGUUGUGUCUGAAGAGGAAAGGGACCCAUAAUUUCUUCUCUGUGCUUUUUUUCAUUGACACUUGGGUUUAGAGUUGAGAAUCUCAGACACAUAUAAUUCCAAACACAGAUUCUUAGAACAGUCUGUAAGAGCACCUAGUCGACACCUAGUCAACAACUUCAUUUAAAAAUAUGAAAACAGAGUGUUCUAGAGGGCAAAACUGUCUCCUGGCCUCAACAGUGUCUAUUGCAGCCAUUACAGCAAAAGAAAUGAUGGUGAAAAAAAAUUCCUUUGCAAAUCAGAUUUAAUGUGGUGAGCUUCUUAACAACAUGCAAUGUUCAACAGAAAUCACAAUUUGAAUGGACAGAUUUUAGUGAGGUCAAGAGGGGUUGUCGGAACACUCACAAAAACCACUUUAACAAUCACAAAUGUUUAAUUCUCAAAUCUUGAGAGAAUACAUAAGCAUUUUACAAAU